CCUACGGGUGGCUGCAGUGAGGAAUAUUGGUCAAUGGGCGUAAGCCUGAACCAGCCAAGUCGCGUGAGGGAUGAAGGUUCUAUGGAUCGUAAACCUCUUUUAUAAGGGAAUAAAGUGUGGGACGUGUCCUAUUUUGUAUGUACCUUAUGAAUAAGGAUCGGCUAACUCCGUGCCAGCAGCCGCGGUAAUACGGAGGAUCCGAGCGUUAUCCGGAUUUAUUGGGUUUAAAGGGUGCGUAGGCGGCCUUUUAAGUCAGCGGUGAAAGUCUGUGGCUCAACCAUAGAAUUGCCGUUGAAACUGGGGGGCGUGAGUAUGUUUGAGGCAGGCGGAAUGCGUGGUGUAGCGGUGAAAUGCUUAGAUAUCACACAGAACACCGAUUGCGAAGGCAUCUCACGAAUCCGCGAUUGACGCUGAUGCACGAAAGCGUGGGUAUCAAACAGGAUUAGAUACCCGAGUAGUC
rnacentral:rRNA from 1 species